CCUACGGGAGGCAGCAGUGGGGAAUAUUGGACAAUGGGCGAAAGCCUGAUCCAGCCAUGCCGCGUGUGUGAAGAAGGCCUUCGGGUUGUAAAGCACUUUCAGUGGGGAAGAAAGCCUUGGGGCUAAUACCCUCGAGGAAGGACAUCACCCACAGAAGAAGCACCGGCUAACUCCGUGCCAGCAGCCGCGGUAAUACGGAGGGUGCGAGCGUUAAUCGGAAUUACUGGGCGUAAAGCGCGCGUAGGCGGUCUGAUAAGCCGGUUGUGAAAGCCCCGGGCUCAACCUGGGAACGGCAUCCGGAACUGUCAGGCUAGAGUGCAGGAGAGGAAGGUAGAAUUCCCGGUGUAGCGGUGAAAUGCGUAGAGAUCGGGAAGAAUACCAGUGGCGAAGGCGGCCUUCUGGACUGACACUGACGCUGAGGUGCGAAAGCGUGGGUAGCAAACAGGAUUAGAUACCCUUGUAGUC
rnacentral:rRNA from 1 species